rnacentral:rRNA from 1 species
GAUGAACGCUGGCGGCGUGCCUAAUACAUGCAAGUCGAGCGAACGGACGAGAAGAUUGCUUUUCUGAUGUUAGCGGCGGACGGGUGAGUAACACGUGGAUAACCUACCUAUAAGACUGGGAUAACUUCGGGAAACCGGAGCUCAUACCGGAUAAUAUUUUGAACCGCAUGGUUCAAAAGUGAAAAACGGUCUUGCUGUCACUUAUAGAUGGAUCCGCGCUGCAUUAGCUAGUUGGUAAGGUAACGGCUUACCAAGGCAACGAUGCAUAGCCGACCUGAGAGGGUGAUCGGCCACACUGGAACUGAGACACGGUCCAGACUCCUACGGGAGGCAGCAGUAGGGAACCUUCCGCAAUGGGCGAAAGCCUGACGGAGCAACGCCGCGUGAGUGAUGAAGGUCUUCGGAUCGUAAAACUCUGUUAUUAGGGAAGAACAUAUGUGUAAGUAACUGUGCACAUCUUGACGGUACCUAAUCAGAAAGCCACGGCUAACUACGUG